rnacentral:rRNA from 1 species
GAUAAACGCUGGCGGCGUGCCUAAUACAUGCAAGUCGAGCGAACAGAUGAGGAGCUUGCUCCUCUGACGUUAGCGGCGGACGGGUGAGUAACACGUGGAUAACCUACCUAUAAGACUGGGAUAACUUCGGGAAACCGGAGCUAAUACCGGAUAAUAUAUUGAACCGCAUGGUUCAAUAGUGAAAGACGGUUUUGCUGUCACUUAUAGAUGGAUCCGCGCCGCAUUAGCUAGUUGGUAAGGUAACGGCUUACCAAGGCAACGAUGCGUAGCCGACCUGAGAGGGUGAUCGGCCACACUGGAACUGAGACACGGUCCAUACUCCUACGGGAGGCAGCAGUAGGGAAUCUUCCGCAAUGGGCGAAAGCCUGACGGAGCAACGCCGCGUGAGUGAUGAAGGUCUUCGGAUCGUAAAACUCUGUUAUUAGGGAAGAACAAAUGUGUAAGUAACUAUGCACGUCUUGACGGUACCUAAUCAGAAAGCCACGGCUAACUACGUG